rnacentral:rRNA from 1 species
AGCAAACAGGAUUAGAUACCCUGGUAGUCCACGCCCUAAACGAUGUAUACCGGUUGUUGCUGUGCUAGUCACGGCAGUAAUCCACCUAACGGAUUAGGUAUACCGCCUGGGGAGUACGGUCGCAAGAUUAAAACUCAAAGGAAUAGACGGGGACCCGCACAAGCGGUGGAGCAUGUGGUUUAAUUCGAAGAUACGCGAAGAACCUUACCCGGACUUGAUAUCUAACAAAUCAUCCAGAGAUGGAAGAGUGUCUGCUUGCAGAAAUGUUAAGACAGGUGCUGCACGGCUGUCGUCAGCUCGUGUCGUGAGAUGUUGGGUUAAGUCCCGCAACGAGCGCAACCCACGUCAUUAGUUGCUAACGGUUCGGCCGAGCACUCUAAUGAGACUGCCUUCGUAAGGAGGAGGAAGGUGUGGACGACGUCAAGUCAUCAUGGCCCUUAUGUCCGGGGCGACACACGUGCUACAAUGGCAUAUACAAUAAGACGCAAUAUCGUAAGAUGGAGCAAAUCUAAAAAAUAUGUCCCAGUUCGGAUUGGAGUCUGCAACUCGACUCCAUGAAGCCGGAAUCGCUAGUAAUCGUAGAUCAGCCAUGCUACGGUGAAUACGUUCCCGGGUCUUGUACUCACCGCCCGUCACACCAUGGGAGUUGAU